UGUCAGAUUUGCUCUAAAUGCUUUCGUUUUUGAGAUAUAAGCCAAAAACUGCAUUUGACCCCUAUGUUCUAUUUUAAGUAACGGCGGCCAUGUUUUUUGACGGAUCAAAAAUCGAAGCGCACAUUUUGUGCAGGAUAUACUAAGGAACAAUCAUGUUAAGUUUCAUUCAAAUCCAUUCAGGAGUUUCAGAGGAGAAGAUGUUUGAAAAAUUGUUAACGACGACAGACGACGACGACGGACGCCAAGUGAUGAGAAAAGCUCACAUGGCCUUUUAGGCCAGGUGAGCUAAAAACACA
rnacentral:lncRNA from 1 species